AAACAAAUUAAAGAAAAGUUAAAAAAAUAUAUAUUUUAAAAAAAUCGUAUUCUGAUUCAACGCCAAAAUACAUAAUCUCUUGAGAUUCGCCGCACGUCUUGAAAUUCUCUGCGACCCGGAUGAGAUUUUAUUUAUGAAGACCGUUUUUCGAGCGUUGGGUGUUGCGGGAAUUUUAUCGUAUUGUCACACAUAUUCCUCCUUCGUGAUCUCGGUCGCUUCGCGGAUUGACGAGGACGCGAGAAAGCGGAUCUUGCGGGCGUAAAACCUGAGGAGGAAUCUUGGAAUGCGUGACUUCAAUCAAUGGAAGAAAUUUUUAAUCAUGAAUAAUAUUUGAUGAAUAAUAUGUGAAAAAUAUUUAUAAAACAGCAAAAAUAUCCAUUCGACGAAAAUCCUCAUGGAUGACACUUGACAUGUGAUGGAACACGUGCAGUUUGAAUAGCUUCGUUGCGGAUCGCACAAAAUACGGUGGUUGAAUAUUUCGUACCGGAAAAUGUACUCUUACUAGCGAUAUAUGCUGUACACGUUUGACCCCCGUGCGUGAAUUUUUAACAAACUUAAGCAGAUUCCCCGAUCCGCCGCCGCGUGUCCAUUCGCAAGAAUGCGGUUUAUUGACCCCGCGGUUACAGAUCGGUGAACCUGAUGGCGGGGCUCUUUCGUACGCCGGCCUACACUGUCCAACCCAAAUUCUACUCUUGAAAUGUCAAUGUCGAGGCAACUAUAGACAACGAGAAAUUGGUGGACGUGGGAGGUCGGUGAAAUCGAUAGAGAAAUAGCGCAAAACGGUGUAAAUUCGUUAUUCUAUGCGAGAACAUUGUAUUUCAUGUUGAGUAUUGAAAGUUUUUAAAAAUGACUCUUUUUUUUUUUUAUUUUUUUUUUUUUAAGCAUAGGUGAAUAUUGUUCAAUAUUCAUGAAAAACUGGUUAGAAGCCAUGGAACGAUCGUAUCGCGACUUGACCCGAUUCGAACAAGCUAAUAGGAGUAAGACUUUCGCUUCCAUGACAGACACAAUUGCCAAACAUCUUCCGGAAUUCUUCGCCAUAGCUCAGAUAAUUAACCUUUUCCCCUAGAACCUUUAACGACUUCGAUACGCUCAAGCUCCGAUUCGUUCUCUUCGAAUCGAGAUAAGUAUCCCCUUUAUCCUAUAUAGUCCAAAUCGAUUCACAUUGGUAACUGUUCUUUUUCUUUCUAUUCGUUUUCCACUUUAAUUCUGCAUUCUAUUCUCAUUGAGAUUAAAAAAAUGCCAUAUUCGAUAAUCUUGAAAUAAAAUAAAAGAAAAUUAGUUUCCACUAUUAUUGGAUUUAAGUUAAUACUUUUUUUAAUUCUUUUCAGAUUUCGUUUUUAAAAAAUAAAAUGAAGCUUGCUAAAAGCAAGAAUCGCAAAUGGUAAAAAUUGAGGAAACUCCAAACUGCAUUAGAUUGUAAAAUUUUAUUUUCUUCAUCUUCCUUCUUCAAUUCACGAAAUGUUCGCAAGACCGGUUGUCUCGGAAUGAUUGGAACGUCAGGAAUGCACCGGUAUCAGGAUGCGAGGCUGGAAAACAUAACUCGUUGGACGAUUACGAGUAUAUUAAUGAAGCGGAUAUAUCGUGAAACAUUGGAGGGCGUUAUAAAUGUGUUGAAAGUAUAAUGAAGUCGAGAACAUGCCGUAAGGGUUUUAGAAUUGAUCAAAGAUUAGCGGCCGUAUGUUUUUUCGUAUCUUCAUGAGAGAUAGCGGAGAGCCUCGAGAGACUUGUUGCAAAACGUAUAGUUUUCAAGGGAAUCUAUCGAAGAAAAUUAAUUCGGGCACGUGGAAUAAAUGAAAGAUAUGGAUGUAAGUGAAACAUUAGAAGGAUGUUGAAGGAUGUUGUUCGUACAAGAAGAGAUAAAGCAAAAUAUUGAUGCUUGCACGUAGGUAGUAUUUCGAUUGAAAUAAUGUCUGCGAUAACUGGUUGACGUGCAUAAUUUAUAUUCUUAUGCGUGGGAUAUGGUUAAUUUCAUUAGUCUGUUCGAAUUUGAAUUUUUAAAACAUAUGUACAGUCAAGUUAUACCUAGUGUAGUGAAGAGACGUGUAUCAAUAU
rnacentral:lncRNA from 1 species